GAAUCUUGCGCAAUAGGCGAAAGCCUGACGCAGCCAACCCGCGUGUGUGAUGAAGGCCUUCGGGUUGUAAAGCACUUUCGAGGGGGAAGAAUACUUACGGUACCCCUCAAGAAAGCACAGGCGAACUCCGUGCCAGCAGCCGCGGGAAUACGGAGGGUGCAAGCGUUGCCCGGAAUCACUGGGCGUAAAGCGUCCGCAGGCGGUGCGAUAAGUCGGGUGUGAAAGCCCAGGGCUCAACCCUGGAACUGCAUUCGAAACUGUCGCGCUUGAGUACGGGAGAGGGAAGCGGAAUUCCUGGCGUAGAGGUGAAAUUCGUAGAUAUCAGGAGGAACACCGGUGGCGAAAGCGGCUUCCUGGCCCGAUACUGACGCUCAUGGACGAAAGCGUGGGGAGCAAACAGG
rnacentral:rRNA from 1 species